GUACGUAUUGUCUGAAUUCUUACAAAAGGGAAAGCAUUUACUUCAAGAAAUGUGUAGAAACAUAAAAACGAUAAGAACGUUUGGAUGACUAG